CGGGCUCGCCUCCCCGCACACCCCUCCCAGCCCUAUGCGCGUCCGCGUCGCCCCAGCUGCCAAUACGUCCUCCCCGCAGCGCCCUCGGCCUGCCUCCCGCUUGGGAGCAGCUCUCCAGCCUCACCUGCACCCAUCACCCAGCGUCCUACUGCCACCUCUUGCUCUAGCUGUCAUGCAUGCGUCUUCCAUGCUUUCCCCGAGUCCUGAUGUCAAGAGAGACCCCAGAUCCCUACAGGCGCUCCCCAACACUCCUGGAGAACCCCAGCUUGGGCAAUUCUAUCCAGACACCUGGAGGGCAGCGCCCAAACUGCUGCACUCUUGGUGACAAGGACUUGUUCGGAACUGAACUGGCCUAGAAAGGGUAGGAGAUUGGAUGCUGCCUUCACUCAACACAGAAGAACUUCAGUCCUUUCAAGGCCACCCUCUCCACCAGCUUUGCCAGCAGAACUCCCAGACGACCAGCACCUUCUGCCCCCACACUGUGCACACAGUCAGUGUUUUCUCAGGUAUUUGGAGGAAGCCACAGACACAGCCUUGGCUGUAACAGGAACCUAAGUCGUUUACAAUACUCUCCAACAUCUAUGAUUUUUUUUUCUGUUGUUGUUGUUCUAUUUUUGACUCCAGAAUAAUCCCAGCACCUGUUCUGUCUGUUGAAAUAAAGCAUCCAUCUUGCUCCAA